rnacentral:misc_RNA from 1 species
UUGUUUCAGAUAAUCUUUGAACAGAUGGUGAGUAGUAUAAUGGAAGAUGAGGAUAGAGAAGUAGAGAAGACUGAGGAUAAACAAAUUCAAACAUUAGAAAUACAAUCUAUACAGUAUGAGGGAUACAAGUGUGAGCUACAGAUGCCAGAUAUUAUGAGAUUAAUUCAAGCAGAUCUUUCAGAACCUUACAGUAUUUAUACAUACCGAUACUUUAUACACAACUGGCCAAACCUCUGCUAUAUUGCUAGGCAUGGUUCUAAAUACGUUGGAGCCAUUGUAUGUAAACUUGAUUAUCACAAGGGUGCUGUGACGAAACGUGGUUAUAUAGCAAUGUUAGCAGUCGACGAGAAUUAUAGAAAGCGAAAAAUUGGCGCAACUCUAGUAAAAAAAGCAAUUGAGGCUAUGAUUCUGGAUAUGGCCGACGAGGUUGUGCUUGAGACCGAGGUUACAAACAAGGCCGCCCUCCAGCUCUACGAACGCCUCGGGUUUGUCAGGGAUAAGAGAUUGUUCCGAUAUUAUCUCAACGGCGUGGAUGCUCUCAGAUUAAAACUCUGGUUGAAAUAAACAAUGAAUUAUUUCGUAUUAAAAUGUCUCAAAUAUUCAAAUAAGAUUUGUGAAAUCGAACCGUGAACCAUGGAACUCUGCCAUGAUUUUGAUCCUAAGCAACUCUCCCGAGGUUCUGUUUAUCCUCCAGUAUUUAUUUAUUUGUUAUAGAAGUGUAUCAUCAUUCUUUUCCUUUGUUGAAAAAAAAUUAUUGUUAAAAUUGCGUUUCAGA